AUUUUUAUUUAAUAAGCUGAACCAAGCUGCCGCUUGAGAGAGAAGAAGGGUUUUUGCAGCGACAAAUGGGAGCAGGAGCAAGAAAAAGAACUGGCGGCGGCGGCGGCGGAGGAGGAGGAGCUGGAAGAAAUCAAAGGAUACUUAAAUAUCACGUGGACUCCUGCCGGAAGAGAUGCGCCACCGCCGAAGACAUAGUUCACCACCUCCGCAACAAUCACUCUAUGUACAGCCGCAUGAAACUCCGUACCUUAACACUACUCGUCAAUCAAAUUCUCAGCUCUUCCUCUUCUACUUCUUCACCAUCAUCUCGAAAGCAUCAUCAAUUUAAACUAUCUUCUUCCUCCGAAGAAGAGGAGGAUGAGGAGGAGGAUGAGGGUAAUUUCGUCAAUUCAAGCAAAAAGCGGCAGCGUAUUGAUGAUAAGGAACGGAAAUUGAUGCAAAUUGAGACUGCUCAUUUGAAUAAAAGGAAUCAGCGAUCAGCAUCGUCUGAGUCUGAGUCCGAGUCCGAGUCGGAAUCAUCAGCGCCUUCUUCGACAUCAGAGGACGGGAUUUAUGCUGAGAAAGUGGAGCCAGAGUUUGAUUUAAUGCGGUCGAUGCUACGAGACAGUUACACAGGCACAGAUUUGAAGCAAAAACCACAAAGUAAAGACAGAGAGAAGCAUAAGGAUUUAGAUGUUGAAAUGGAUAUUGCAACUACUCCAAAAACAGCUAGUAAAAUCGACAUUGUUAAUUCAUUAAAAGGCGAUAAUGAAGGGAAGGGGAAAGGGAAGAGCUUGACUAGUGGCGGCGGCGGCGGCGACUUGGCGGUGAAGAGUGGUGGUGAUGGGCCUAGGUUUAGGGAUUUAGGAGGGAUGAGAGAGGUAUUGGAGGAAUUGGAGAUGGAAGUGUUUUUGCCAUUGUAUCAUCCUCAUGUGCCGCGGCGGCUUGGUGUUAAUCCAAUUGGAGGCAUUUUGUUACAUGGACCUCCUGGUUGUGGCAAGACUAAGUUAGCUCAUGCUGUUGCUAAUGAGACUGGUGUUCCCUUUUACAAGAUUUCGGCUACUGAGGUCGUUUCUGGAGUUUCGGGUGCCUCAGAGGAAAAUAUCCGAGAGCUCUUCUCCAAAGCGUACAAGACUGCACCAUCAAUCGUUUUCAUUGAUGAGAUUGAUGCAAUUGCUUCAAAGAGAGAAAGUCUACAAAGGGAGAUGGAGCGAAGGAUUGUGACGCAGUUGAUGACUUGCAUGGAUGAAUUUCAUAGGCUUGUACAGCCAGAUAGCUUAAAUUCAGAUUCAGAAAGCACCAAUCAAAACCCUGGAUAUGUUCUCGUAAUUGGAGCUACUAAUAGGCCUGAUGCUAUUGACCCCGCAUUAAGGAGACCGGGAAGAUUUGAUCGUGAGAUUAGGUUAGGUGUGCCUGAUGAGAAUGCUAGGGUUGAGAUUCUUUCAGUGCUCACCAAAAAGUGUACUCUUGAGGGCUCUCUUGAUCUCUUGCAGAUAGCUAGGUCUACACCAGGUUUUGUUGGAGCUGAUUUGGAUGCUCUGGUUGACAAGGCUGGUAAUCUUGCCAUGAGGAGAAUCCUUGCUCAGAGAAAAUCUGAACUUACAGAAGAAUAUAUGGAUAACAAACACAGAGAAGAUUGGUGGAAGAUACCUUGGUUGCCUGAGGAGAUUGACAAGCUUGCCAUUACAAUGGCCGACUUUGAGGAAGCAGCUAAAUUGGUCCAACCUUCUUCAAGAAGAGAAGGAUUCUCUACUGUUCCUAAUGUCAAGUGGGAGGAUGUUGGUGGGCUUCAUUCUAUAAGGAACGAGUUUGACCUUCAUAUUGUUAGGCGCAUAAAAUUUCCUGAGGAUUAUCAGAAAUUUGGCGUGAAUUUGGAGACGGGAAUUUUACUGUAUGGCCCUCCAGGCUGUGGUAAAACUCUGAUUGCUAAGGCUGUUGCUAAUGAAGCAGGAGCCAAUUUCAUUCAUAUCAAGGGUCCCGAGCUUCUGAAUAAAUAUGUUGGAGAAAGCGAACUGGCAGUUAGGACAUUAUUUAGUCGUGCAAGGACAUGUUCGCCAUGUGUGCUUUUCUUUGAUGAGGUGGAUGCUUUGACAACAAAGCGCGGGAAGGAAGGCGGAUGGGUAGUUGAGCGGUUGCUAAAUCAGUUACUUAUAGAGUUAGAUGGUGCAGAUCAGCGGCCAGGUGUGUUUAUCGUCGGUGCCACAAACAGACCUGAGGUAAUGGACCCUGCUGUCCUACGGCCUGGUAGGUUCGGCAAACUUCUGUAUGUUCCUCUUCCCAGUUCAGAAGAUCGUGGAUUGAUCCUAAAAGCGCUUGCAAAGGGAAAACCAAUUGAUCCUGAUGUGGAUUUGAGUGCAAUUGGGAAGAUGAAGGAUUGUGAAAAUUUAAGUGGGGCCGAUCUUAAAAAGCUGAUGGAUGAAGCUGCAAUGGCAGCAUUAGUUGAGGCAAAAAGUGGUUGCUCAGACAAAAUCCCAAGCACAAUCAAGGCGGCUCAUUUUGAGGAAGCAUUGAGUAAAAUGUCUCCAUCUGUUUCACAUAAGCAAGUACACUAUUACAAGGUUUGGUCAGAGAGCUUCAAAAGUUAAAAUGAAAUGUUUCCUAUGUUAUGUUGCGGUACUACAUGCCCCAAUUGCCUGGGCAACAAUUUUGCUGCCUUUCCGCCUAAAAUGAGUGGCUACAAGUUUGGAAGGCCAGAAACUCGGUUAUCUUCAAAGAGAAGGCUUGGUCGGUUGAAGAACUGUUCGAACUGCCUUAGCUUAUAGCGAAGAAUUUAAACUAGCACAAGAAACAAUUACAAAUUCUAUCUCUAGUUUGAACCAUUGCUAAUUCCAGGUCGAACAGUUGUACACCUUCAGGAGCUUAGGAAUCCAUUAUUAUUAGAUAUGAUGCUUGAUUUAAUAAAGAUAAGAAGUUUGGAUC